rnacentral:rRNA from 1 species
UUACUUAAGUAAGAAAGGGAAAUGAAUUUCGCUAAGGGAUGGGGCUAUAUCCUAUCAGCUUGUUGGUAGUGUAAGAGACUACCAAGGCAAUGACGGGUAGCUGGUUUGAGAGGAUGAUCAGCCACACUGGUACUGAGACACGGACCAGACUCCUACGGGAGGCAGCAGUGGGGAAUAUUGCGCAAUGGAGGAAACUCUGACGCAGCAACGCCGCGUGGAGGAUGACGCAUUUCGGUGUGUAAACUCCUUUUAUAUAAGAAGAUAAUGACGGUACUAUACGAAUAAGCACCGGCUAACUCCGUGCCAGCAGCCGCGGUAAUACGGGGGGUGCAAGCGUUACUCGGAAUCACUGGGCGUAAAGGAUGCGUAGGCGGACUAACAAGUCUCGUGUGAAAUCCUAUGGCUUAACCAUAGAACUGCACGGGAAACUGUUAGUCUAGGGUUCGGAAGAGGCAGAUGGAAUUAGUGGUGUAGGGGUAAAAUCCGUAGAUAUCACUAGGAAUACCGAUGGCGAAGGCGAUCUGCUGGGACGACACUGACGCUGAGGCAUGAAAGCGUGGGGAGCAAACAGGAUAUACCCUGGUAGUCCACGCCCUAAACGGUGAAUGCUAGUUGUCAUGGCACUCGUUGUCGUAGUAAUGCAGUAAACACAUUAAGCAUUCCGCCUGGGGAGUACGGUCGCAAGAUUAAAACUCAAAGGAAUAGACGGGGACCCGCACAAGCGGUGGAGCAUGUGGUUUAAUUCGAAAAUACGCGAAGAACCUUACCCAGACUUGACAUUGAUAGAAUCUUUCAGAGAUGAGAGAGUGCUAGCUUGCUAGAGCUUGAAAACAGGUGCUGCACGGCUGUCGUCAGCUCGUGUCGUGAGAUGUUGGGUUAAGUCCCGCAACGAGCGCAACCCUCGUCUUUAGUUGCCAGCAAUUCGGUUGGGCACUCUAAAGAGACUGCCUUCGUAAGGAGGAGGAAGGUGAGGACGACGUCAUGUCAUCACGGCCCUUAUGUCUGGGGCGACACACGUGCUACAAUGGGUUAUACAAUGAGAAGCGAUACCGCGAGGUGGAGCAAAUCUAUAAAAUAACUCUCAGUUCGGAUUGUACUCUGCAACUCGAGUGCAUGAAGUUGGAAUCGCUAGUAAUCCUGAAUCAGCCAUGUCACGGUGAAUACGUUCCCGGGUCUUGUACUCACCGCCCGUCACACCAUGGGAGUUGAGUUCACCUUAAGUCGGG